rnacentral:lncRNA from 1 species
GCAUCAUGAAAAAUUCAAUAACCAAGCUAGAAUGCCAUAGAUAAUUUUCCACAUUGUGGAUUUUAGUAAUAAUCGACACAAAAGUAUUCACAAAAAUAAGCUAAUUAGUUCUUUAAACAAUCAUUGCUUGUCGAGUGGUCGUUGUGAAUUUUCAUCAAAAGUAGUUGCUGAAACAAUCAUUAGUUUCUGAAACAAUCAUUGGUUGUCAUUCUGGACUUCAUUAAAAUUGCUGGUGAGGUUUUUUGCAAAUCUGACUAUCUUCUUCUUAGCAGGCUUUGGUUAAGUAGUUGCUGCUAUGUCUUCUUCUUGAGACGCUUGUGCAGAUUGGAUGGAAAAAUUGAUCAGUUUCUUUGACGCCAUAUCAAUAU